rnacentral:rRNA from 1 species
UACGUAGGGACCAAGCGUUGUUCGGAUUUACUGGGCGUAAAGGGCGCGUAGGUGGCGACCCAAGUCGAUGGUGAAAGCUCGCCGCUCAACGGCGAGUCGGCCACCGAUACUGGGUUGCUCGAGCACUGUAGAGGCUAAUGGAAUUCCGGGUGUAGCGGUGGAAUGCGUAGAGAUCCGGAAGAACACCGGUGGCGAAGGCGGUUAGCUGGGCAGUUGCUGACACUGGAGGCGCGACAGCGUGGGGAGCAAACAGGG